GAUGAACGCUGGCGGCGUGCCUAAUACAUGCAAGUCGAGCGAACAGACGAGGAGCUUGCUCCUCUGACGUUAGCGGCGGACGGGUGAGUAACACGGGGAUAACCUACCUAUAAGACUGGGAUAACUUCGGGAAACCGGAGCUAAUACCGGAUAAUAUAUUGAACCGCAUGGUUCAAUAGUGAAAGACGGUUUUGCUGUCACUUAUAGAUGGAUCCGCGCCGCAUUAGCUAGUUGGUAAGGUAACGGCUUACCAAGGCAACGAUGCGUAGCCGACCUGAGAGGGUGAUCGGCCACCCUGGAACUGAGACACGGUCCAGACUCCUACGGGAGGCCGCCGUAGGGAAUCUUCCGCAAUGGGCGAAAGCCUGACGGAGCAACGCCGCGUGAGUGAUGAAGGUCUUCGGAUCGUAAAACUCUGUUAUUAGGGAAGACCAAAUGUGUAAGUAACUAUGCACGUCUUGACGGUACCUAAUCAGAAAGCCACGGCUAACUACGUG
rnacentral:rRNA from 1 species